AAUUAGAUAACAUAACAUCCGUCGGAUCGAACCCGCUUAUGGGCGUACCCGAUUCGAUUUAACCGAAUGCCAACAGUAUUUUAAAAUUUUAGAUUUAAUAUAAUAUAUUUUGAAAUAUUGAAAAAAAAAAUAAUUGUUUCGGGUUCAAAUUUUUGGGUUCGGGUUCGGGUUUGGGUUUCGAAAUUUUGGUCGGGUUCGGAUUUGGAUAUGGAUUUUUAAAAUCCGUCGGGUUCAGGUCUCGGGCUUGGAGUCGAGUUCGAGUUCGGG
rnacentral:lncRNA from 1 species